rnacentral:rRNA from 1 species
UACGUAGGGUGCGAGCGUUAAUCGGAAUUACUGGGCGUAAAGGGUGCGCAGGCGGUUAUAUAAGACAGAUGUGAAAUCCCCGGGCUCAACCUGGGAACUGCGUUUGUGACUGUAUGACUAGAGUACGGUAGAGAGGGGUGGAAUUCCUGGUGUAGCAGUGAAAUGCGUAGAUAUCAGGAGGAACAUCGAUGGCGAAGGCAGCCCCUUGGACCUGUAACUGGACG